GCUUGCGGCGGCCGGGCCUGCUGCCCCGGCGUCUGCGCCGCCGGCGGGCCGCCCGCACCGCCACGGUUGAAAUCCGUGCGCGGGCC
rnacentral:tRNA from 1 species